CCUGCCCCUCGAGACAUUACAGAUGUGGCUGCUGUGUCAUGUGUGUGUCAACAGGUGGCAGAGAGGAGAGACGCUAUGUCUAAUCACGGUGUUCUGACCUAAGAGCAUCUGAAUGAUUAGCAGCCUAACACU